rnacentral:rRNA from 1 species
AGUGAACGCUGGCGGUAGGCCUAACACAUGCAAGUCGAACGGCAGCACAGUAAGAGCUUGCUCUUACGGGUGGCGAGUGGCGGACGGGUGAGGAAUACAUCGGAAUCUACUUUUUCGUGGGGGAUAACGUAGGGAAACUUACGCUAAUACCGCAUACGACCUACGGGUGAAAGCAGGGGAUCUUCGGACCUUUCGCGAUUGAAUGAGCCGAUGUCGGAUUAGCUAGUUGGCGGGGUAAAGGCCCACCAAGGCGACGAUUCGUAGCUGGUCUGAGAGGAUGAUCAGCGACACUGGAACUGAGACACGGUCCAGACUCCUACGGGAGGCAGCAGUGGGGAAUAUUGGACAAUGGGCGCAAGCCUGAUCCAGCCAUACCGCGUGGGUGAAGAAGGCCUUCGGGUUGUAAAGCCCUUUUGUUGGGAAAGAAAAGCAGCAGGUUAAUACCCCGCUGUUCUGACGGUACCCAAAGAAUAAGCACCGGCUAACUUCGUG